GCGCGCGCGGCCGCGAGGUGCGGAGCCGCGGGAAUGGAUGAGUAGGGCCGCCCUCCGUGGAAACACGGUUUUGAAGAGGGCCUGCGUACACGCUGGGCCCUUCACAUCUGUAGACGGUGGAGGCCAGGAGAAAGGAUACUGUGUGCGAUGAGGUAAAGCAUGUGAGAGUGCUUUGUAACCGGAAAGUGCCUUUCAAAACUCCUGGUUUGCUGCUGGUACCUGAUAGAGAUGGAACUCCUGACCAUGGGACAUCAAGUGACUAUGUGAAUGAUCGAACUACUACUCGUCAUGAACUGGUGUUAUCUGAUUCACCAAUCAUACAACUGGAUGGGCAUAACAGCAGUUCACUCCCUACAAAACUGGGUACAUGGCCACAACUAAACUGAAUAAGCAGUAGAUUUUGGCAUGCCCAAAUCUGGAGGUGAAAAAAGCAACAACAACAAAAAAAACAGAGCAGCAAGGAAAAUCGGUAAGCUUUACCCUGCAGCAAAAAUAUCAAUCUGUUCUUAAGGAAUUAAGUGCUUCACAAAGGUGAGUUCUCCAUGUGACUAAGGCUUCAAUUAUUCAUCGUGGACAGUAACCCAGUGCAGUUUGAAGGUCCUUGUCAUUACAGGUGGCCUAGUAAAUGUUUGACAACUAGCUCACCAGGAAAGAAAAAAAAAAAAAGC